rnacentral:rRNA from 1 species
UAAAUAAAAUUCACACAAAAAUUUACAUAUAAAUUAAACUAAUAAUAAAUUUACAAGCCAAAAUAAAGCUUUAU